rnacentral:rRNA from 1 species
CAGCAGCCACGGUAAUACGGAGGGAGCUAGCGUUAUUCGGAAUUACUGGGCGUAAAGCGCACGUAGGCGGCUUUGUAAGUAAGAGGUGAAAGCCUGGUGCUCAACACCAGAACUGCCUUUUAGACUGCAUCGCUUGAAUCCAGGAGAGGUGAGUGGAAUUCCGAGUGUAGAGGUGAAAUUCGUAGAUAUUCGGAAGAACACCAGUGGCGAAGGCGGCUCACUGGACUGGUAUUGACGCUGAGGUGCGAAAGCGUGGGGAGCAAACAGGAUUAGAGACCCCCGUAGUCCCUGUCUCUUAUAC